rnacentral:rRNA from 1 species
UUCCUACGGGGCGCAGCAGUGGGGAAUAUUGCACAAUGGGGGAAACCCUGAUGCAGCGACGCCGCGUGAGUGAAGAAGUAUUUCGGUAUGUAAAGCUCUAUCAGCAGGGAAGAAGUUGACGGUACCUGAGUAAGAAGCCCCGGCUAACUACGUGCCAGCAGCCGCGGUAAUACGUAGGGGGCAAGCGUUAUCCGGAUUUACUGGGUGUAAAGGGAGCGUAGACGGCAGUGCAAGUCUGAAGUGAAAGCCCCGG